rnacentral:tRNA from 1 species
GCCGCUGUGUUGGAAUAGGUAGACAAACUUGACUCAAAAUCAAGCGCUGAAAAGCAUGCCAGUUCGAGUCUGGCCAGCGGCACCA